rnacentral:rRNA from 1 species
CGAACCUGGUUGAUCCUGCCAGUAGUCAUAUGCUUGUCUCAAAGAUUAAGCCAUGCAUGUCUAAGUAUAAACAUCUUUAUACAGUGAAACUGCGUACAGCUCAUUAUAUCAGUUAUGAUUUAUUUGAUGGUACCUUACUACAUGGAUACCCGUAGUAAUUCUAGAGCUAAUACAUGCGUACAAUCCCGACUACU